GCAUGCAAGUGGAACGCUUUAGUCUUCGGACUAAGGAGUCGCGAACGGCUGAGUAACACGUAGGAAUCUACCUUAUAGUGGGGAAUAGUCCAUCGAAAGAUGGGUUAAUACCGCAUAAUCCCUCAGGGGGAAAGGCAUUUAUGUCGCUAAAAGAGGAGCCUGCGGGCCAUCAGUUUGUUGGUAGGGUAACGGCCUACCAAGACUACGACGGCUAGGGGACAUGAGAGUGUGUACCCCCAGAAUGGUACUGAGACACGGACCAUACACCUACGGGUGGCAGCAACCGGGAAUCGUGCGCAAUGGAGGAAACUCUGACGCCGCGACGCCGCGUGAUGGAUGAAGGCCUUCGGGUCGUAAACAUCUUUUGCAUAUCGGGAGACCGAUUUGAGAAUAAGCCCCGGCUAACUUCGUGCCAGCAGCAGCGGUAAUACGAAGGGGGCAAGCGUUGCCCGGAUUUAUUGGGCGUAAAGUGUUUCGUAGGCGUCCUUGUAAGUUACUUUUCAAAGACCAGGGCUUAACUCUGGAAAGGGAAGUAAUACUGCAAGGAUUGAGAUAUACUGGGGCAACUGGAAUUGUCGGUGUAGGGGUGAAAUCCGUUGAUAUCGACAAGAACUCCGAAGGCGAAGGCGGGUUGCUAAGUAUUUUCUGACGCUGAUGAACGAAAGCUAGGGGAGCGAAAGGGAUUAGAGACCCCUGUAGUCCUAGCCGUAAACGAUGCUCGCUAGUUUGCAGGUGUACCACGUAGUACAUUUGUGGACGUAAGCUAACGCGUGAAGCGAGCCGCCUGGGGAGUACGAGCGCAAGCUUAAAACUCAAAGGAAUUGACGGGACCCGCACACAGUGAUUAGUGUAUCGAGACGACGAGACUACUGGCUGACAUCUUACGUUAGACUAGAGAAGAUCUGAUGUAAAUUUACAG
rnacentral:rRNA from 1 species